rnacentral:rRNA from 1 species
AUUGAACGCUGGCGGCAGGCCUAACACAUGCAAGUCGAGCGGAUGAAGGGAGCUUGCUCCUGGAUUCAGCGGCGGACGGGUGAGUAAUGCCUAGGAAUCUGCCUGGUAGUGGGGGAUAACGUCCGGAAACGGGCGCUAAUACCGCAUACGUCCUGCGGGAGAAAGUGGGGGAUCUUCGGACCUCACGCUAUCAGAUGAGCCUAGGUCGGAUUAGCUAGUUGGUGGGGUAAAGGCCUCCCAAGGCGACGAUCCGUAACUGGUCUGAGAGGAUGAUCAGUCACACUGGAACUGAGACACGGUCCCGACUCCUACGGGAGGCAGCAGUGGGGAAUAUUGGACAAUGGGCGAAAGCCUGAUCCAGCCAUGCCGCGUGUGUGAAGAAGGUCUUCGGAUUGUAAAGCACUUUAAGUUGGGAGGAAGGGCAGUAAGUUAAUACCUUGCUGUUUUGACGUUACCAACAGAAUAAGCACCGGCUAACUUCGUG